rnacentral:rRNA from 1 species
GACGAACGCUGGCGGCGUGCCUAAUACAUGCAAGUAGAACGCAGUUGCGAACGGGUGAGUAAAUCGUAGUUAAUUGCCUCAUAGCGGGGGAUAACUAUUGGAAACGAUAGCUAAUACCGCAUACUGUGAGAUGCACCUGCGUUGUAUUAGGUAGUUGGUGAGGUAAAGGCUCACCAAGGCGACGAUACAUAGCCGACCUGAGAGGGUUAUCAGCCACACUGGGACUGAGACACGGGCCAGACUCCUAAGGGAGGCAGGAGUAGGGAAGCUUCGGAAAUGGACGGAAGUCUGACCGAGCAACAGCCGGUGAGUGAAGAAGGGGUUCGGAAUGUAAAGCUCGUUUGUUAGAGAAGCGGUAACUGACCAAAAAGGGACGGCUAACUCCGUGCCAGCAGCCGCGGUAAUAC